UGGGUGGAGCUCAGUGGUAAAGUGCUUGCCUCACAUGCAGAAGGCCCUGGGUUCCAUCCCCAGCAUCACAA
rnacentral:tRNA from 1 species